GAUGAACGCUGGCGGCGUGCCUAAUACAUGCAAGUCGAGCGAACGGACGAGAAGCUUGCUUCUCUGAUGUUAGCGGCGGACGGGUGAGUAACACGUGGAUAACCUACCUAUAAGACUGGGAUAACUUCGGGAAACCGUAGCUAAUACCGGAUAAUAUUUUUAACCGCAUGGUUCAAAAGUGAAAGAGGGUCUUGCUUUCACUUAUAGAUGGAUCCGCGCUGCAUUAGUUAGUUGGUAAGGUAACGGCUUACCAAGGCAACGAUGCAUAGCCGACCUGAGAGGGUGAUCGGCCACACUGGAGCUGAGACACGGUCCCGACUCCUACGGGAGGCAGCAGUAGGGAAUCUUACGCAAUGGGCGAAAGCCUGACGGAGCGACGCCGCGUGAGUGAUGAAGGUCUUCGGAUCGUAAAACUCUGUUAUUAGGGAAGAACAUAUGUGUAAGUAACUGUGCACAUCUUGACGGUACCUAAUCAGAAAGCCACGGCUAACUACGUG
rnacentral:rRNA from 1 species